AUACUUACUUGGACAGGGUCAAUGGACGAUCAAGAAGGCCCAUGGCCUAGGUUGGUGACUUCUAUUGCACUUUGGAGGGGGCACUUGUCUAAGGUCAGCACAAGUGGUCGAGCCUAUGUCAUAAUUUGUUGAAGUGGGGGCUUGUGUUUGCGCAGCCCUUG
rnacentral:snRNA from 1 species